AACGAACGCUGGCGGCAGGCCUAACACAUGCAAGUCGAGCGAAGUCUUCGGACUUAGCGGCGGACGGGUGAGUAACGCGUGGGAACGUGCCCUUUGGUUCGGAAUAGCCCCGGGAAACUGGGAGUAAUACCGGAUGAGCUCUACGGAGGAAAGAUUUAUCGCCAAAGGAUCGGCCCGCGCUGGAUUAGGUAGUUGGUGGGGUAAUGGCCUACCAAGCCGACGAUCCAUAGCUGGUUUGAGAGGAUGAUUAGCCACACUGGGACUGUGACAGGGCCCAGACUCCUGCGGGAGGCAGCAGUGGGGAGUCUUAGACAAUGGGGGAAAGCCUGAUCUAGCCAUGCCGCGUGAUCGAUGAAGGCCUUAGGGUUGUAAAGAUCUUUCAGUGGGGAAGAUAAUGACUGUACCCACAGAAGAAGCCCCGGCUAACUCCGUGCCAGCCGCCGCAGUAAAAC
rnacentral:rRNA from 1 species